rnacentral:lncRNA from 1 species
CAUUUUUAUACGACCGCAAAAUUUGAAAAAUUUUUCGUCGUAUAUUGCUAUGACGUUGGCGUCGUCGUCGUCGUCGUCGUCGUCGUCCGAAUACUUUUAGUUUUCGCACUCUAACUUUAGUAAAAGUGAAUGGAAAUCUAUGAAAUUUUAACACAAGGUUUAUGACCACAAAAGGAAGGUUGGUAUUGAUUUUGGGAGUUUUGGUCCCAACAUUUUAGGAAUUAGGGGCCAAAAAGGGCCCAAAUAAGCAUUUUCUUGGUUUUCGCACUAUAACUUUAGUUUAAGUUAAUAGAAAUCUAUGAAAUUUUGACACAAGGUUUAUGACCACAAAAGAACGGUUGGGUUUGAUUUUGGGAGUUUUGGUUUCAACAGUUUAGGAAUUAGGGGCCAAAAAAGGGCCCAAAUAAGCACUAUUCUUGGUUUUCGCACAAUAACUUUAGUUUAAGUAAAUAGAAAUCAAUGAAAUUUAAACACAAUGUUAAUGACUACAAAAGGAAGGUUGGUAUUGAUUUUGGGAGUUUAGGUCCCAAUAGUUUAGGAAUUAGGGGCCAAAAAGGGACCCAAAUAAGCAUUUUUCUUGGUUUUCGCACCAUAACGUUAGUAUAAGUAAAUAGAAAUCUAUGAUAUUUAAACACAAGGUUUAUGACCAUAAAAGGAAGGUUGGUAUUGAUUUUGGGAGUUUUGGUCCCAACAGAAUAAGGAGCCCAAAGGGUCCAAAAUUAAACUUUGUUUGAUUUCAUCAAAAUUGAAUAAUUGGGGUUGUUUGAUAUGCCGAAUCUAACUGUGUAUGUAGAUUCUUAACUUUUGGUCCCGUUUUUAAAUUGGUCUACAUUAAGGUCCAAAGGGUCCAAAAUUAAACUUAGUUUGAUUUUGACAAAACAUGAAUCAGUUAGGUUCUUUGAUAUGCUGAAUCUAAAAAUGUACUUAGAUUCUUGAUUAUUGGCCCAGUUUUCAAGUUGGUCCAAAUCGGGGUCCAAAAUUAAACUUUGUUUGAUUUCAUCAAAAAUUGAAUAAAUGGGGUUCUUUGAUAUACCAAAUCUAACUGUGUAUGUAGAUUCUUCAUUUUUAUACGACCGCAAAAUUUGAAAAAAUUUUCGUCGUAUAUUGCUAUCACGUUGGCGUCGUCGUCGUCGUCGUCGUCCGAAUACUUUUAGUUUUCGCACUCUAACUUUAGUAAAAGUGAAUAGAAAUCUAUGAAAUUUUAACAUAAGGUUUAUGACCACAAAAGGAAGGUUGGGAUUGAUUUUGGGAGUUUUGGUCCCAACAUUUUAGGAAUUAGGGGCCAAAAAGGGCCCAAAUAAGCAUUUUCUUGGUUUUCG